rnacentral:lncRNA from 1 species
AAUAACAGUUUCCUCUAGAUAGAUAACAGUUAAAAAAGUCACAUUACUCAUGCAAUCAUGUCGUCUCUCUCGCCUCAUCUAUCUCAGCCUCAAAUCCUCAGAUCAUCUUCUUCUCCCACAUCCAUAUUACCUUUUUUCAAAUCGAUCGCACGAGUUUUGAUAGCGCAUGUUUCAAUUCAAAUUUGCUAUGUUUGGGUUGAAUCACAGCGCUGUCUUACUCAAGUUGAAGGAUUGAUUUUAUGUUUGGGUCGAGUCACAGGGCUAUGUUUGGGAGGACGUUAUGUUUGGGUGAGUACGUGACGAUGUAGAAGGUUUUCCAAGCAGCAUCGAAAGGGCUAAUUGAUUUGGCCACCAUAGGACAGAUGGACACACGUUAAAGAGUAAGACAAAAGCAAUGUUAAUAGAAUAGAUGAAGGUCACGAAGCACGUGAAAUUCUGAAAUGAAUCAGUCUUCAUCUAUUUCUUCUCCUCCUUUGGUUCUGUUUUUCUUAAAUGGAUCAGCCUUUAAUCUUUCUUCUUGGUAUUUUUUCAGUGACUUUUUUUCUUCUCUAUCUCUUCACUAAAAAUCUGAUCUCACCGAAAAUUGUGGUGAGAGAUAACAGCAAAUUGUUUUUGUGUUUCUUGAAUAUGCAUGUUUGAUCGCAUAUCUAGUACUAUACAUAUUUAAAGAUGGGAAAUGAGUGAAUUUGUGUUGUAACAUUUGUUUAUUACUAAUCAUUGUUAGAUUACCAUUGGUAAUGCCACCUAUCUUUUGUUGUCCUUUUUUGUUGAACUGGAGGAAGUUGUGGAAGCAGAUCUAGAGAUGGAAG